GUCCACGCCGUAAACGAUGGAUACUAGCUGUUCGGGGCAACCUGAGUGGCUAAGCGAAAGUGAUAAGUAUCCCACCUGGGGAGUACGAACGCAAGUUUGAAACUCAAAGGAAUUGACGGGGCCCGCACAAGCGGUGGAGCAUGUGGUUUAAUUCGAUGAUACGCGAGGAACCUUACCAAGGCUUAAAUGUAGAUUGACCGUUUUGGAAACAGAACUUUCGCAAGACAAUUUACAAGGUGCUGCAUGGUUGUCGU
rnacentral:rRNA from 1 species